CUCACAGGGUUGGGAGUUCGAGCCCCUUGUGAGUCAAAUAUCCUGGCAGCUGGCUCAUGGUCAACUCAGCCAUCCAUCCAUUCCUUGGUCGGUAAAUGAGUACCUAGCUCAUAGCUAGGGGGUAAAGAAUAGCCGGCGAAAGUAAUGGCAAACUACCCC